UACGUAGGUGGCAAGCGUUGUCCGGAAUUAUUGGGCGUAAAGCGCGCGCAGGCGGUCCUUUAAGUUUGAUGUGAAAGCCCACGGCUCAACCGUGGAGGGUCAUUGGAAACUGGGGGACUUGAGUGCAGGAGAGAAGAGUGGAAUUCCACGUGUAGCGGUGAAAUGCGUAGAGAUGUGGAGGAACACCAGUGGCGAAGGCGACUCACUGGCCCGGUACUGACGCUGAGGUGCGAAAGCGUGGGGAGCAAACAGG
rnacentral:rRNA from 1 species